ACCUCGGUGAUGCAGUGGCAGCACACGUCCCUCGUAUGGAUAAAACGCGGGUUCGACUCCCGUUUGAGGUC